rnacentral:lncRNA from 1 species
UAUUUGGAGACAGUCACAGUUACACACUCAACAUCUGCUGGCACCUACCCAAGCCCAGAGCUCCCAGAGCCCCGCGGGCCCCCGAGGCACUCCCAGUCAAGCAUGGGAGACAGGCCAGCACACAGGUGAUCCGUGGUCGUGAUAAAUGGUCACAAGGGGCCGUGGGCACCCAGAAAAUGAGCUCCUACUCGGCCUUGGAGAGCCUGAGAGUGAGGCCUUUGAAUGAUGCCCUGGACAGAGCUUGGAACAUGAAGGUGAAUACUGUUGUGGGGAGAAUGCAUCCCUUUGCCUGGCUCUGAGCCAGGGCCAGCUUUGGAUCCUGCUAGCCCCAUGGAUAUAGAGGUGACAGUACGAAGACUCACAGUAGUGGGGAAGUCCUGUCCUCAAGUCCAUGCAGCUCAGGAGUGGGAGAACUUGGAUCUGAGUGAGCCCUGAUUGUCGCCUUGAGGACCACUGUAUUUUCAGAGCCUUGCCUUGCUUCUCAGAGGUGAGAGCCACCUCCAUUUCAACACGG